rnacentral:rRNA from 1 species
GACGAACGCUGGCGGCGCGCUUAACACAUGCAAGUCGAGCGAGAACCCAGGCUUCGGCCUGGGGGAAAGCGGCGAACGGGUGAGUAACACGGGGGUAAUCUGCCCUCGGCAUCGGGAUAGCCCGGGGAAACCCGGAUUAAUACCGAAUGGCCCAGCAGCUCUUCGGGGCGGCUGGAAAAGGUAGCUUCGGCCUCCGGCCGAGGAGGAGCCCGCGGCGGAUUAGCUUGUUGGUGGGGUAACGGCCUACCAAGGCUCCGAUCCGUAGCUGGUCUGAGAGGACGAUCAGCCACACUGGGACUGAGACACGGCCCAGACUCCUACGGGAGGCAGCAGUGGGGAAUCUUGAGCAAUGGGCGAAAGCCUGACGCAGCGACGCCGCGUGAGGGAAGAAGGCCUUCGGGUUGUAAACCUCUUUCAGGAGGGACGAAGCCACUCGGGUUAAUAGCCCAGAGGGUGACGGUACCUCCAGAAGAAGCCCCGGCUAACUACGUGCCAGCCGCCGCGGUAAAAC